UUAAUCUUAUUUUAAGAAGAAUUUAUCUCUUUGGAAGAUAAGGUAAAGGUUAAA
rnacentral:tRNA from 2 species